rnacentral:rRNA from 1 species
UACGAAGGGGGCUAGCGUUGCUCGGAAUCACUGGGCGUAAAGCGCACGUAGGCGGCUUUCUAAGUCAGGGGUGAAAUCCUGGAGCUCAACUCCAGAACUGCCUUUGAUACUGGAGAGCUCGAGUCCGGAAGAGGUGAGUGGAACUCCGAGUGUAGAGGUGAAAUUCGUAGAUAUUCGGAAGAACCCCAGUGGCGAAGGCGGCUCACUGGUCCGGUACUGACGCUGAUGUGCGAAAGCGUGGGGAGCAAACAGG